GAAUAAUAAAGUAUAUUUUACUGUGUAUUUAAACAAACACACCAGACAAAUAUUAGUGUUUCCAAGUUUUAUCAGUAGAGUACAACAUGUUAAAAUGCACUUUAAACACAAUUGACUGUUGCAGUACUUGUUAGACACUUUGUGUUAUCCUCCUCACAGUUUUUGCUGUUUUUAAGUGAUGGUUGAGAUGUUUUAAAUUUAAGUGCAGGAAUUGUCACAGUUUGGUUUUGAAGAUUGCUGUAAAAGUUUCAAAAGGAUGACUGUGUUUUAAUCGGAGUGCAGGUUUUAGGGGAGGUGCUCUCUGGAGACAUCCUCUGCUACACAGUGAGGGUUUGCUGUCUAACAUUCUGUGAAGCAGAUGAACUAAUCCACUGCAAAAUGGAGCUCAUCUCUUUACUUUUGUUCUGUACUCUUGCAUGUGUCAGUUUUGGGAAUGUCAUCACACCAGUCCAGCCUGAGGUGUCUGGGACAGAGGGGGACAAUAUAACUCUGUCCUGUAACUACUCUUCAGCAGUUAGUCUGCAGUGGUAUCGCCAAUAUCCAAACUCAGCUCCUGAAUUUCUUUUGAUAAUACUACAUAGGACAGGGAAAGUUUCACAGAAGUCUAAAAUUGUAGAACAAGAUCCUCGAUUCUCUGGAAAAGUGAAUGAAAAGAAAACCCAUGUGGAUCUGGAGAUCUCCUCAGUUAAAGUGAAAGACUCUGCUCUGUACUACUGUGCUCUGGAUUCCACAGUGACAGGAAACACAACAACUCUGUACAAAAACCUGACUUAUGUAAAUCAUCCAGUGGGUUCAUUGUUCAUUCAGCAAAUUUCUGCAGACAUUAGUUUAUGUUAGCCUAAAAUAAAUUAACCAAUAAAAAUAAAAAUAAAAAUCAGUAACUUGUAAAAGAAAAACAUUUAUCAUGUUUUGAUAUAUCAUUUAAGGUUGUUUCCUGUAGAAUAGAAUUAUAUGUGAGAAUACAGUUUGU